GAAGGUGGCUCAGUGGUAGAGUGCUUGCUUCGCAUGCAGGAAGCCCUGGGUUCGAUUCCUCAGCACCCUCA
rfam:Dipodomys ordii contig_31406, whole genome shotgun sequence.